rnacentral:rRNA from 1 species
AUGCAGUAUCAUUACUUCGGAGAUGCAGUAACAUUUGACACAACAUACCGUACAAACCUGCAUGAUAUGCCGUUUGGUCUGUUCGUUGGAGUUAACAACCACUUUCAGAGCAUUAUCUUCGGUGAUGUGCUUGUUAGGGAUGAGACAACUGAAACAUUCGAGUGGGUGUUUAGCAAAUUCAUCCACAUGAUGGGCGGCAAACAUCCUCAAACCAUACUUACAGAUCAGUGUAGAGCUAUGGAGCUUGCAAUAGAGAAAGUAAUGCCAGACACCACACACCAGUGGCACAUCCUAAAGAAGGCAAAAGAAAAACUUGGUGCAUAUUACACAAAGAGAAGCAACUUAAGAGCGGAGUUCCAUAAAAUCGUCAAUCGCAUGCUUAUAGAAGAUGAAUUUGAAAGUGCAUGGGCACAGCUGCUUGAGAGAUACAGUUUGCAAAAAAACGCUUACCUUGCACACAUCUAUGAAGUUCGGGCAAAGUGGGCAAAACCGUACUUCAGGGGCACAUUUUGUGUGAAAAUGACAAGCACACAGCGUAAUGAGAGUGCAAGCUGA